AUUGAAACUGUCCAAUGAUUUAAACAUGCUGAUGUAGCUGAACUGAAUUUGCAGGUAGGUACCGGACGCUAUAUUUAUGGGAAAAUGGGUGGGAAUUUUUCAAUCGAAAUGGAAAUUAAGAAGGAAAUUUUUGAAAUGUA